rnacentral:rRNA from 1 species
GUGGGGAAUCUUCCACAAUGGACGAAAGUCUGAUGGAGCAACGCCGCGUGAGUGAAGAAGGGUUUCGGCUCGUAAAGCUCUGUUGUCGGGGACGAAUGUGCAGUAUUUGAAUAAAGUACUGCAAUGACGGUACCUGACGAGGAAGCCACGGCUAACUACGUGCCAGCAGCCGCGGUAAUACGUAGGUGGCAAGCGUUGUCCGGAAUUAUUGGGCGUAAAGGGAGCGCAGGCGGGAAGGUAAGUCGGUCUUAAAAGUGCGGGGCUCAACCCCGUGAUGGGAUCGAAACUAUCUUUCUUGAGUGCAGGAGAGGAAAGUGGAAUUCCUAGUGUAGCGGUGAAAUGCGUAGAUAUUAGGAGGAACACCAGUGGCGAAGGCGACUUUCUGGACGAAAACUGACGCUGAGGCGCGAAAGCCAGGGGAGCGAACGGGAUUAGAUACCCGGGUAGUCC